rnacentral:misc_RNA from 1 species
UACAGCUAAAGCUGUGUAGUUAUAACAAGCUAGAAAGGGCACAACUUUUGUACAAACAAGUCAAGUAACUCUUAACGGACCUUUACGUUCCAGAUUCUUCCACGAUGACUCGAGCUGCAGUAGGUGUAACUUCUCAACAAAUGCCUCUAGAACUUGAGCCUCUUCUUCUGGUGCAAAGACCAUGCAAAUGCUAAGCUCCUGGACCGCCUCCUCGUAUUCCCUGCUAUAGUACAACAUCAUGCCGUGGUCUCUCCUCAGAACCCAAUUGUGUGGCUGCAGAAUCAGCAAUCUUUGCGAAGCCAUAAUAGCCAGCCUAGAAAGUCGGUACCAUCCCAGACAUAUAGUCAUUACAGGCGAGAAG